GACCACCCGCCUCGCGGGGAAAGGCCAUACGGACAGCCGGGUCAACUGCCGA
rnacentral:sRNA from 1 species